AAAGAAAUCAACCGAGAUUUCGUUAGUAGCGGCGAGCGAACGCGAAGGAGCCUGUUAGUGAUAAUGACAGAGACAGAGGAACAAGCUGGGAAGCUUGGCGAUACAGGGUGAUAGCCCCGUACUCGAAGUCCAGGUCAUGGUACUAAGCUAACGACAAGUAGGGCGGGACACGUGAUAUCCUGUUUGAAGAUGGGGGGACCAUCCUCCAAGGCUAAAUACUCCUGAUUGACCGAUAGUGAACCAGUACUGUGAAGGAAAGGCGAAAAGAACCCCGGUGAGGGGAGUGAAAUAGAACCUGAAACCUUGUACGUACAAGCAGUGGGAGCCCUUUAAGGGUGACUGCGUACCUUUUGUAUAAUGGGUCAGCGACUUAUAUUCUGUAGCAAGGUUAACCGAAUAGGGGAGCCGAAGGGAAACCGAGUCUUAACUGGGCGUUAAGUUGCAGGGUAUAGACCCGAAACCCGGUGAUCUAGCCAUGGGCAGGUUGAAGGUUGGGUAACACUAACUGGAGGACCGAACCGACUAAUGUUGAAAAAUUAGCGGAUGACUUGUGGCUGGGGGUGAAAGGCCAAUCAAACCGGGAGAUAGCUGGUUCUCCCCGAAAUCUAUUUAGGUAGAGCCUUGAGCGGACACCUUCGGGGGUAGAGCACUGUUUCGGCUAGGGGUCCAUCCCGGAUUACCAACCCGAUGCAAACUACGAAUACCGAAGAGUGAUACUCAGGAGACACACGGCGGGUGCUAACGUCCGUCGUGGAGAGGGAAACAACCCAGACCGCCAGCUAAGGUCCCAAAGUCUAUAUUAAGUGGGAAACGAAGUGGGAAGGCUUAGACAGCUAGGAUGUUGGCUUAGAAGCAGCCAUCAUUUAAAGAAAGCGUAAUAGCUCACUAGUCGAGUCGGCCUGCGCGGAAGAUGUAACGGGGCUCAAAUAUAGCACCGAAGCUGCGGCAUCAGUAGCAAUACUGUUGGGUAGGGGAGCGUUCUGUAAGCGGAUGAAGGUGAAUCGAGAGGUUUGCUGGACGUAUCAGAAGUGCGAAUGCUGACAUAAGUAACGAUAAAACGGGUGAAAAACCCGUUCGCCGGAAGACCAAGGGUUCCUGUCCAACGUUAAUCGGGGCAGGGUGAGUCGGCCCCUAAGGCGAGGCUGAAAAGCGUAGUCGAUGGGAAACGGGUUAAUAUUCCCGUACUUGGAUAAACUGCGAUGUGGGGACGGAGCAGGUUAGGUUAUCGCACUGUUGGAUAUGUGCGUUUAAGUUUGUAGGUGGGAAGUUUAGGCAAAUCCGGACUUCUAUUAAACACUGAGAGAUGAUGACGAGGCUCUACGGAGCUGAAGUAACCGAUACCACACUUCCAGGAAAAGCCACUAAGCUUCAGGUUUAUCUAAACCGUACUGAAAACCGACACAGGUGGUCAGGUAGAGAAUACUCAGGCGCUUGAGAGAACUCGGGUGAAGGAACUAGGCAAAAUAGCACCGUAACUUCGGGAGAAGGUGCGCCGGCGUAGAUUGUAGUCCCUUGCGGGCGAAGGUUGAACCGGUCGAAGAUACCAGCUGGCUGCAACUGUUUAUUAAAAACACAGCACUCUGCAAACACGAAAGUGGACGUAUAGGGUGUGAUGCCUGCCCGGUGCUGGAAGGUUAAUUGAUGGUGUAAUCGAAAGAGAAGCUCCUGAUCGAAGCCCCAGUAAACGGCGGCCGUAACUAUAACGGUCCUAAGGUAGCGAAAUUCCUUGUCGGGUAAGUUCCGACCUGCACGAAUGGCAUAAUGAUGGCCAGGCUGUCUCCACCCGAGACUCAGUGAAAUUGAAAUCGCCGUGAAGAUGCGGUGUACCCGCGGCUAGACGGAAAGACCCCGUGAACCUUUACUAUAGCUUGACACUGAACAUUGAAUUUUGAUGUGUAGGAUAGGUGGGAGACUUUGAAGUAGUCACGCCAGUGAUUAUGGAGCCGUCCUUGAAAUACCACCCUUUAACGUUUGAUGUUCUAACGAAGAUUACGAAAUCCGUGGUCUCGGACAGUGUCUGGUGGGUAGUUUGACUGGGGCGGUCUCCUCCCAAAGAGUAACGGAGGAGCACGAAGGUUUGCUAAUGACGGUCGGACAUCGUCAGGUUAGUGCAAUGGUAUAAGCAAGCUUAACUGCGAGACAGACAAGUCGAGCAGGUACGAAAGU
rnacentral:rRNA from 1 species